rnacentral:rRNA from 1 species
GACGAACGCUGGCGGCGUGCUUAACACAUGCAAGUCGAACGGAAAGGCCUGUCCUUCCUUGUGUUGGACGGGUACUCGAGUGGCGAACGGGUGAGUAACACGUGAGUGAUCUGCCCCCAACUUGGGUAUAAGCCUGGGAAACUGGGUCUAAUUCCCGAUAGGACUGCAGGGUGGUGCCUGUGGUGGAAAACGAUUUUCGAGUGGUUGGGGAUGAGCUCGCGGCCUAUCAGCUUGUUGGUGGGGUAAUGGCCUACCAAGGCGGCGACGGGUAGCCGGCCUGAGAGGGGGGACGGCCACAUUGGGACUGGGAUACGGCCCAGACGCCUACGGGAGGCAGCAGUGGGGAAUAUUGCACAAUGGGCGGAAGCCUGAUGCAGCGACGCCGCGUGGGGGAUGACGGCCUUCGGGUUGUAAACUCCUUUCGACCGCGAGGAAGCCGCCUGGUUGGAAGGGUGGUGACGGUAGUGGUAGAAGAAGCACCGGCUAACUACGUG